UUAAGUCCCGCAACGAGCGCAACCCUUGCCUUUAGUUGCCAGCAGUUCGGCUGGGCACUCUAAAGGACUGCCGGUGUUAAACCGGAGGAAGGUGGGGAUGACGUCAAGUCCUCAUGGCCUUUAUGACCAGGGCUACACACGUACUACAAUGGCCGAUACAAAGGGCAGCGACACUGCGAGGUGAAGCCAAUCCCGUAAAAUCGGUCUCAGUCCGGAUUGGAGUCUGCAACUCGACUCCAUGAAGUUGGAAUCGCUAGUAAUCGUGGAUCAGCAUGCCACGGUGAAUACGUUCCCGGGCCUU
rnacentral:rRNA from 1 species